UACAGAGGGUGCGAGCGUUAAUCGGAAUUACUGGGCGUAAAGGGCGCGUAGGCGGUAAGAUGUGAGCGAUGUGAAAGCCCCGGGCUUAACCUGGGAAGUGCAUAGCUGACUAUCUAACUAGAGUAUAAGAGAGGGUGGCGGAAUUUCCGGUGUAGCGGUGAAAUGCGUAGAGAUCGGAAGGAACGUCGAUGGCGAAGGCAGCCACCUGGCUUAAUACUGACGCUGAGGCGCGAAAGCGUGGGGAGCGAACAGG
rnacentral:rRNA from 1 species